CCAGCUGUCCUCCUCCUCAUACUGAACCCAACACAUGAGGUGAUUUUGUGACUGUUCUCCGCUGCUCCGCUCUGACCGUUCGCCGCACUUCACCUAUUUGCCAGGAUCACAGUUUUGUGGAAACACUUGUACGCGGGGAGGGUGUUUCCAAGGUUACCGCAGAGGCACUAAAUUACUGUGACAGCUGUGGCUGGGAACUCUAGUCAAGCAAAGCGAUGCCCCCUCAGCUACAGACUGCCGGCAAACGACACCGUUUACUCCCCUCGCUUUAAAAACACACCGGUUAGCGGCGUGAACUCAAACAGAGGUGAACGCGAUCCCGAUUCCUCGGACGGGUCAACGCGUGCGUCGCGUGCGUGAAUCGGCAUCAAACAAGCGGCUCCGCGGGACGCCGGGCCCCCGCGGCAGCGCUUCGGGAGGAGACGCACCUGAACGCCACUACAGAUCUGCCAUCACAUCCACCCGAGAGGCGAGAGGCACGGGGGAGGACGCCUGGAUCGUGAUCUUCGCAGUCGUGUUCCUCUGGCCAUCUGUGCCGCAAAGGGGAGUCACAGUCAAUGCUGCUGCAGAUGCGUGGGGGGCUGAUGGGGCUGAGGGGGGGGUGUAACCUGAUCUCAUCAUAUUGGGUGCCCAUCGCCCCCAGAGGGAAAGCAAGAAACAAGAGGCCCAGCUGUCCUCAACAAUGGACCAGCCACGACUCAAAUGGCCUCUUUCAGUCCGCAGGUCCUGCAACGGCUGCUUCCAGGGAGACGAGCCCGGACAUGCGUCCACUGCGGACACGUCUGCUGCUUUUGGACAAGUGGAAAGGAGAAAAAAAUGAAUAAUGGCUGGCCAAUAAAUCAGUAUGAUCAUUCGCUGUGUUUAAAUGGAGUCAAAGAAUAAUUAUACCAAGAAAGAUGGUGAUACUCAAUAAAGUUCAUUGUUCUAACUCAGUUACACGAGAAAAUAAACAGCACUUUUUAAAGUA